AAACAUCUAAGUACCC
rnacentral:rRNA from 1 species